CUGGUGAACUGUCGUUAAUUAGUGGAAGGUUGUAUUCUGUGGAUUAAAUGUUGGCAUGUGCUUUUAUAAUAUUUAUUUAUGUAUUAAUCUGUCUUGAGUGUUCUUGCGUUUAUUUGUACAGUAUUCCUGUCGUAAUUAUGUCAUUUUAACGACAUUUUUACCACUGUCAUAUAACCGGGAGGUUUUGCUAGCCAUAAAACAAGAUUCAAUCGACUGUUUUUUUUACCCAGUCAGAAACAUGGCAGUUGUUAUAAAAUAGUCCGUUUGUAUGCAUGUUUGCUGUUUAUUGUAGCAGAUUCGGGUUUUCUGUUGUUCAGUUGUACUUUCAAUAUGUGAUGCAUUUCCCUCGGUUUAAGUUUGUGACCCAUAUUUGUUUCAGUUAACUCCAUUUAUGACUAUUGAACAGAGGUAUACUACUGUUGCCUUUAUGCAUACGUAUGUUAAAGAAAGCAAUACAGCAUUGUCCAAGGUUCAAAAGUCGGCUGUUCUCUUCGUUCGUUCAUUCCUGAUUGUUUAUUCAUUUGUUGUGUUGGUGUUGUUGGUUUUGUUGUUUUAUUGUUUUUUUCUUUUUGAUAUUAAAUUCUCAUUUUUAUGUUUUAUCCUUUUGGCAUUAUAUUACCUUGUUUGUGUGUUUUAUUUUUCAUGUUAAACACCAUAUUUUUGUUUGUUGUUUCAUAUACGUUUUAGCGUUGCAUGUGUGGAAAAAGUAAAAUCACAAAAAUACUGAACUUAGAGGAAAAUCUAAUCGGAAAGUCCAUAAUCACAUGGCUAACCAAACAAUUUGCUGCAACAUUAUUUUCCGUUAAAAAUGUUGUUUUUAUUGAUUGUUGGUU
rnacentral:lncRNA from 1 species